rnacentral:lncRNA from 1 species
UGAGAUCUUGAACUUCAUCAAUAUACACAAAAUCUACUUUGUCACCAUCGAGAUGCUGAUACUUUAGCCGACUAUGAAGAUCAUUAACCAAAUCAGCUAUAUCAUAUUCAGCACGCUCCAUCUUCAUCUUUUCAUAAUCCUGAAAAAUACCAUAUAUUCUAUCUCUUUUUUCUGCACUUAUCGAAGAGACUCGAUGUUCGGACAUUGAUAUAUAAGCCUCUUUGCUGAGUUUAUAUCGAAGAGACUCGAUGUUCGGACAUUGAAAUAUAAGCCUCUUUGCUGAGUUUCCC